rnacentral:rRNA from 1 species
GACGAACGCUGGCGGCGUGCUUAACACAUGCAAGUCGAGCGGUACGGCUCCUUCGGGAGUACACGAGCGGCGAACGGGGGAGUAACACGUGAGUAAUCUGCCCCGCACUUCGGGAUAAGCGCCGGAAACGGCGUCUAAUACCGAAUACGACCAGCCUCCGCAUGAGUUGCCGGUUGAAAGUCUUAUCGGUGCGGGGUGUGCUCGCGGCCUAUCAGCUUGUUGGUGAGGUAACGGCUCACCAAGGCUUCGACGGGUAGCCGGCCUGAGAGGGUGACCGGCCACACUGGGACAGGGACACGGCCCAGACUCCUACGGGAGGCAGCAGUGGGGAAUAUUGGACAAUGGGCGAAAGCCUGAUCCAGCAACGCCGCGUGAGGGAUGACGGCCUUCGGGUUGUAAACCUCUUUCAGUAUCGACGAAGCGCCUUUAACGGUGGUGACGGUAGAUACAGAAGAAGGACCGGCCAACUACGUGCCAGCCGCCGCAGUAA